rnacentral:rRNA from 1 species
GAUGAACGCUGGCGGCGUGCUUAACACAUGCAAGUCGAACGGGAUCCAUCAAGCUUGCUUGGUGGUGAGAGUGGCGAACGGGUGAGUAAUGCGUGACCGACCUGCCCCAUACACCGGAAUAGCUCCUGGAAACGGGUGGUAAUGCCGGAUGCUCCGGCCUGCCGCAUGGUGGGCUGGGAAAGAUUGUAUCGGUAUGGGAUGGGGUCGCGUCCUAUCAGGUAGUCGGCGGGGUAACGGCCCACCGAGCCUACGACGGGUAGCCGGCCUGAGAGGGCGACCGGCCACAUUGGGACUGAGAUACGGCCCAGACUCCUACGGGAGGCAGCAGUGGGGAAUAUUGCACAAUGGGCGCAAGCCUGAUGCAGCGACGCCGCGUGCGGGAUGACGGCCUUCGGGUUGUAAGCCGCUUUUGAUCGGGAGCAAGCCUUCGGGUGAGUGUAC